GAAGUGCUGAACCCUUGACGUGCCUUAUCUUAUUUGCUCCUCACAACAAAUCUUAUGAGAUGCAUCACUACCAGAAGUUGUCCAGAAAGAACUGUGACCGUAUGUUUUAAUUAAAUAAUUUUUCAUCCAGUUUUUUUCUUUGCAUAUAAAGAAACAGAAUCCUGACAUCUGAUUGAAUUAUUGGCUCUCCUGAUGGUUGCACGAUGGCUGCAGCAGUUCCAGAUGUCCCAUCGAGACACAAAAAGAUCCCAGAUGGAAGAUGCCAUCUCCUCCUAUGUGCCUCUUUUUAAGAGUGCCAUGCCACUCAAACAGCCAAUGGAAAGGCCCACGUGGCGAGAGCUAAGGCUUCCUGCCAACAGGCAAGUGAGGAAGCCCAGUCAGCUGCCUGCAGUCCUGACCCAUGAAGAGCCUGACUGAAAGUGAAUGAGCAACCCUGAGCUAGGACAACCCAGCAAGGCCCAUCCUGAAUUCCUGCCCACAAAAACUCUGAGACAGUAAAUGUUCGUUGUUUUAAACCACAAAGUUUUGAAGUAAUAGAUUAAUUAGGUAACCAAUUGGGACUGCAGUAUUCCUUCAGGGAACUUGAAUAGUCAUUCUGUAUAUGGAAAUUGUACACAUCUUAAAAUUGCUGGACUAAAGUGAGAAGAGACUGUCUUGAGUCAACUGGAUAAAGUGGAAAAAAAAUUAAUUUGGAAAUCAAUAGAAUUCUGGCCUUGGCUUUGUCACUAAGAAACACUUAUAAGUAAUUUCACUUCUCUUGAAAUUAUGAUCAUUAUCUAUAACAUAAAGGAACUGAGCUAAAUGUUAUCUGAUGCCUCUUUAGGCUCUCAAACUCCAUAGAUUUAUGACAUGCUUGAAAUUCACUUUGUUUCACCCUAAUUCAGAGCUUUGUUUCACUAGCUCUAGAAUUAGAUGCCUUGGGUUUAAAUUGCAAUUCAGUCACUUAUUUAAAUAAUUGUACUUGGAUGAGUGAUGUUGCCAUUUUAAGCCUCAGUUUCCCCAUAGAUUCAUUGAGAAGAUCAAAUAAGAUGAUGCAGAUAAAGCUCUUAGUUUGUGGGGACACUUAGUAAGUGCUUAAUAAAUACAGGCAGUUGUGUUAUCUAUGUUGUAGCAGCACAUUUUGUAAAAUAAAACAAAGUUGAAAUCACAAAAA
rnacentral:lncRNA from 1 species